rnacentral:rRNA from 1 species
UGGGAUCUGGAAUGACCCAUGGUUCAAAGUUCCGGCGCUUAAGGAUCGCUCUGCGGCCUAUCAGGUAGUAGUGGGUGUAAAGUACCCCCUAGCCUACGACGGGUAUGGGCCUUGAGAGAGGGAGCCCAGAGUUGGAUUCUGAGACACGAAUCCAGGCCCUACGGGGCGCAGCAGUCGCGAAAACUUCACACUGGGGGCAACCCCGAUGAGGGAAAUCCUAGUGCUAGGACAUUUGUUCUAGCUUUUCUCA